UGCGGGAACCACCUGAUCCCAUGCCGAACUCAGCAGUGAAACCGCUCAGCGCCGAUGGUAGUGUGGGGCCUCCCCAUGCGAGAGUAGGUCAUCGUCAGGC
rnacentral:rRNA from 1 species